UGUCCCCUUAUGGUGUUAGUAUGGUAGUUACUGCUUGUUACUAUUGCAUGCGACUGUAUUUAUGUUUCUUAUGUUUACAUAAUUAUUUACGUUAUCUCUGUGGGAUUACUUAUGCUUUAUUAUUUCGUUUUGUCUUGCUUUGGAUUCUAAUUUUGUCUUUGUUUUAAUGCAGCUUUUCAUUUUAUCCUAUGCGCCGAGGGUCGAU
rnacentral:lncRNA from 1 species